AAAGCACUUUUGAACUCCUUCAAGCACGGUAUACGCUGAGAAGCAAAGUUCCGGAGAACAGGAGCCGUGCUUUAACUUGAGAUAACUUUGGUGAAUAGUUCUUGGCUGGGAGACAAAAUGGGAAAUGUAAAUGUUCUCUGUAGAUUGUUUCAGGAUUAAACAUCUUGAAUUUUUGUUUCAAAAUGCUCUCCCUUCUGGCAAUUCUUUCAAAACUUCUGGUCAUAUAAAUCUGAGUUAUUGAAGAUAGUGCUUGAGGACUCCUGUCAGAACAACACUUUGUUUAAUUGGAAUUUUUUUUUUCAAGCUCUAUUUGGUUGAAAAUCUCUGAAGUUCUCCUUUGGAAUGUAGCUUGAAACAAAUGGUUUUCUUUCAGCUUAUUACUUCUCGCUUAGCUGUCUGAACAGAAAGCGCUUUGCAAGUACCCAAAGGGGACGACGGGAAGUUGAAAAGGAGAAGAAAUCCACAAAUAAAAGGCUCAGUGGUGGACACGUCUCUAUGCACGUCAUUUCUACUCUAUAAAUGUGGGAUGUUCUGUCCCACCUGCACAGUUAGCUGGCCUGCCUACCUGCUUGCCUUCCAGCCAAAGGAUUCAACUGCUACACCAGCUUUACACAGGAUCAGAGCCGCAGGGGGCAGCUCAGCAGAUGCAGGGGAAUGACCUGCAAGGGUGUUUCCUCCAUAAUUCAACACUUGCAUGACUUGGAACGCUGAGAAAACCUUUGGGUCUUGCCCUUUGGCUGGUGGACCUGUGGAGAUGUUUUUGACUUUGAAAUGCUGCUCUUAAUUUUGGAAACAACAUCAGAAGGAGUUGGUUGGACAGCCAGAGCUCAGUGAAAUGCUACAGUGGCUUCAAAUGGCAAAUACGUAAACCAGCGUAGAUACCUACUUCUACCUUCUCUACUUUCUCUGUUCCACAGAGUGGCUCAGGCACACUGAGGGGGAUGUGGCACCUCCCGAGGGGUUUGAAGACAGUGCCAAUGUUGCUGCUUCCUUGCAAGUGAGCAUCUGGGCAGCAGCAGUGCUUCCCAUCGCCUCCCUCGCUGCUCAUGGAACUGCUGAACAUCCCAGUGUCACACCAGGUAGGACACCAGCGCAGCACCUGAGUUAGUCUUUCCGGUUUGGGGAAAUCUGUGGAAUCAUUGACUUCAAUUUCCAGUUUUUAAGGCUUUGUCGCAACCACCAAAGGACUUAACCCUGCUGUUGCUGUAGAGCAACUUUGUCCUGCUUGAGUUGUACUGAAUGCGCUUGGAACCCGGAGCAGCCAGCUAUGAAGAGCUGCUCUUCAAAAUCCUUUUCCUUAAUCCAGGUAUGAAACCAAGGCUCUGGCUUUUUAAGAAGGCCCUUUGAAGCCUGCCCAACAGGCUGACGUGUGAAUGCUCUGGAAGCUCUUGAAUGGAGACAGUUAUUUCCAAACAGCCACAGGAGUAACUGACUGUAGCAAAAGGAUGAUGGAUGGCAUCGUGGUCAAAGUAAGGUGCACACAGCAGGAUGGAUGUCUCACCAGUCCCACCCAGAUGUGGCCUGUGGAAGAAGCUGCCAGCACUUUCAUGUUGCCUGCCAAGAGCUCAGUAAGACCAGGUGCUGCAGCGCCAAACCUCACAGAUGCCAUGACCACUAUGAGGUGACCUCUCUGGACAGCUUCAGGCAUUGAGAGCUGGAGGCUGCACCGUCCCCAGGCCUCACUAACACGCAGCACCGAGCACUUCAGCUUUUUGUUUCCCUAAGGUCUGAAGACAUACUUCAAAUCCUGUAAACAAGAGGCAGAGUAGUGAAGGCUGUGCUUUCAAGCUGGACUAAAAGCUAGCACUGAAAGAACUGGAGAAAAUUCAUUUCUAGUGAAGGGUGAUGGCAAAAUGAAACCGGUACAGUCCAGCAAUGCACGAAGGCAGAGUGGGGACAGUGAAUUUAGUCAGCCAAUUUAGCGUGCCUUACGCUGGUAGCUGGACGCCUACAUUAAUUCUUCUAAUUUCAUCACAGGAAAGGUGCUUCUGGGAAGCUUUUCCAGAGGUAUUUCAGACCUCAGCUGCACCCAAACCAAACAUGAACUAAACUACAUAUAAAGAUGCUGGGCUGGACUUCCUUGCCCUCAGUGAUGUAAUACUCGCUCAGAAGCUGAUACUUGAGUGAGGAGACCCAUAUUCCAUCUCAGUCAGAUGAGCAAAACUCUGAGGUUUUUUUCCGUUUCUAUUAAUAAAGAAAG
rnacentral:lncRNA from 7 species